rnacentral:lncRNA from 1 species
AAACCUACAACAAAAUGUGGAAUUUCACACGAACCCAAUGAAGAAGACCUAACAUUUAUGACCGUAAUCUUUUUGGGUUUUUUUUUCCGACUUUUCCCUGGAGCUUUCGCGCCUAUUCUAUAUGUGUUUGCCUUCAGCGUAGACAGUAUGGCCCUUGCCUAGGCAGCAUGCUCAGCAAAUGUGAGGUUUGCUUGAGCAAGCAAUCCAGCUCGUGCUUCAUUAAAGGCCGAGUCGAUAAGUUGAACUGCUAGUCUUCCACGAACAUCUUGGGUAUCAUGCUACGCAUGAAGAAUAUUUUAGAAUAAGUUGUUUUACUUGAUCAAUACAAUAAGGAGACAACGAGUUAAAAUGUCUCUAUUAAAAUUUUUAAUUGUUACCAUAUAUGAUUUGUUAGGAAUGAGCCCUGGAGUCUCCAUGAAUUUGAUGACAUAGAUUCCACAAUCAAACCCAUUUGGUUGUUUCGGAACCCCCUCACCAGAACGAAUAGGGAACCAAAUGAAUCGUGUUGAUGGCUUGGCAUUUGGAGGUAACUUAGAAUGAAAAAUGGAAUCAAGAGAAUGUUCUGCAAAGUUCAAAUCAAAAUGGCAAAUUAGAUUAUUGAGGAACGACAUAUACACAUGUAACAUACUAUGAGUUCAGCUUGUUGCUCGCGUUUUCGAUUAUUUCGACCAUCAGGAAGAGAGUCCCAAACCUCACCAUAGCCUUCUUUGACUUUCAUGAUGAACAGGAACCAAUGAAAGGCACCAUCGUUAAUUGGAACAUAAAUCUAACAAAAAAAAUCAGUUACCAUUGAUAAUUGGAACAUUUUCUCAUAGAAGAUGUUUUACAAAAAGUAAAUUUGUAAUCAGUUGAGAGUGUAGAAAGUAACCUUUUGGCACCUUUGAAAGUCUGGCAUGAAAGGUUUUCCGACACUUGCUGCUUGUGCAAAACCAUCAACGUUGGCUCCAACGGUAAGUGCUAAUUGCUAUAAAAGAACAAUAAGUAAACAAGUGAUAUGUCAAUAAAUGCACAAGUAUUGAAAAAAAAUCUUAUUGUAUAGAGCAAUGUUUGAAAAAUUAUUAUAGAUAAACAACAACUUCAAUUCACAUAGAAAUAAUAGUGGUGGAUACUUACUGCAUAUAUUAUCGAUAAAUACCAGUUUAUUGGUUCAUCACUGCGUUUAGCCCGUUCACAUAGUGUGAGGUGAUAUGCUAUCAUGGUGAGAAUCUAAAACAAUGGUUAAUAAGUGACAACUUAGUAUUCAAUUUUGCAAUAAGGCAUCCAAACAUAUAGUACGAUGAUGUGAGUGCCAAUACACCAAAAACCUCUCCACUCAGAGCCGUGUUAGGCAAAAGGCUCAUGAAAUUAUGCCUGGAGAUAAAUUGAUCAUCAGUAGAGACAAUGAUUUCGCUGAAAACACAAACAAGUAAUAAAGUGUUAGCUAAUCAAUAUAUAUGUACAAGGGAAUAAAAAAUACAAAGCCCUAUAAACCACAAGUACCUUCCGAUUUACUAAUUUGAAUACACUAAUUAGAACAAUGUUAGUGGUAAAACUACAAAAAUCAGUGCACUAAAUGAACAAUUAUGAUUCCACAGUUAAACCUACAACAAAAUGUGGAAUUUCACACGAACCCAAUGAAGAAGACCUAACAUUUAUGACCGUAAUCUUUUUGGGUUUUUUUUUCCGACUUUUCCCUGGAGCUUUCGCGCCUAUUCUAUAUGUGUUUGCCUUCAGCGUAGACGGUAUGGCCCUUGCCUGGGCAGCAUGCUCAGCAAAUGUGACGUUUGCUUGAGCAAGCAAUCCAGCUCGUGCUUCAUUAAAGGCCGAGUCGAUAAGUUGAACUGCUAGUCUUCCACGAACAUCUUGGGUAUCAUGCUACGCAUGAAGAAUAUUUUAGAAUAAGUUGUUUUACUUGAUCAAUACAAUAAGGAGACAACGAGUUAAAAUGUCUCUAUUAAAAUUUUUAAUUGUUACCAUAUAUGAUUUGUUAGGAAUGAGCCCUGGAGUCUCCAUGAAUUUGAUGACAUAGAUUCCACAAUCAAACCCAUUUGGUUGUUUCGGAACCC